UUUUUUUGGAAUAAUAAUUUAAAAUUUAAUCUGCUCACUGAUUUUUUAAAGAGCCGCAGUAUUUUGACUGUGCAAAGGUAGCAUAAUAAAUAGUUUUUUAAUUGGAAACUGGAAUGAAAGAUUGGAUGAAAAAUUAACUGUCUUCAAUUUUAUGAAUAGAAUUUAAUUUUUUAGUCAAAAAGCUAAAAUUUUUUUAUAAGACGAGAAGACCCUAUAGAUUUUUAUUUUAUUUUGUUUAAAUUUUGUUUAUAUUAAUUUAUUAAUUAAAAUAUAAUUUUAUUGGGGUGAUAUUAAAAUUUAAAUAACUUUUAAAAAUUAUUAAUUAUUAAUAUAUAAUUUUUUGAUCCUUUUUUUUUGAUUAAUAGAUUAAAUUACCUUAGGGAUAACAGCGUAAUUUUAUUGGAAAGUUCAUAUUGAAAAUAAAGUUUGCGACCUCGAUGUUGAAUUAAAACAAUGAAUGGGAGUAGAAGAUCAUUUAAUUAGUCUGUUCGACUAUUAAAAUUU
rnacentral:rRNA from 1 species